AGUGAACGCUGGCGGUAGGCCUAACACAUGCAAGUCGAACGGCAGCACAGGAGAGCUUGCUCUCUGGGUGGCGAGUGGCGGACGGGUGAGGAAUACAUCGGAAUCUACCUUUUCGUGGGGGAAAACGUAGGGAAACUUACGCUAAUACCGCAUACGACCUACGGGUGAAAGUGGGGGACCGCAAGGCCUCACGCGAUUAGAUGAGCCGAUGUCCGAUUAGCUAGUUGGCGGGGUAAUGGCCCACCAAGGCGACGAUCGGUAGCUGGUCUGAGAGGAUGAUCGGCCACACUGGGACUGAGACACGGUACAGACUCCUACGGGAGGCAGCAGUGGGGAAUAUUCGACAAUGGGCGCAAGCCUGAUCCAGCCAUACCGCGUGGGUGAAGAAGGCCUUCGGGUUGUAAAGCCCUUUUGUUGGGAAAGAAAUCCUGUCGAUUAACACUCGGUGGGGAUGACGGUACCCAAAGAAUAAGCACCGGCUAACUUCGUGCCAGCCGCCGCGGUAACAC
rnacentral:rRNA from 1 species